rnacentral:piRNA from 1 species
UGGGGUUGUAACUCAGUAGUAGUGUGCUUG